UGGACUCAAAACUACAUGAGGGCAAAUAAUCAGGGCAGCUGCUUUACAAAAGACCAUGUGCCCCAUGUCAGUUGGGAGAAGCUGAGCCUAGGAGUGGAAAGCAGGCUGUUUUCCCUAACUCUGAAGCAUUUUGCAACAGAGUUGGUUUUUUAACUAUAUACUUAACUGAGUGGUGGCUAAUUGGUGUCUGAGUGAUUUCAGCAGAGGAGGAGGAAGAGUCUCCAUGGAUUCCAGCUGAACAUUUCUACAAGCAAGUGAAGCCUACACACUGACACAAAACAGGUUUUGUUGCCAGAGGAGAUGCCAGACAGGGAGACAAGCUGACACCCAGAGGCCACGGCCGAAAGAAAUUGGCAUCUGGGUCUUGCAGCUGCCAAACCUUCUCUAUGAGUGGCCACAGCAAUCAGCUCCAGUGAUGUAGCAAACUGAGGAGGAGGAGGAGGAAA